UACAAGACAAAACAUCGCACCCUGGAGGACUUGGAGACACGGAUUCAGGAGGUACUCAAUGAUAUCCCAGAUGUCGUCCUUCAGAACGUUGUUCAUUCCAUCCUUGGCUGUUUGAGGAAACUGGUUGAAGCCACCGGUGCUUACGUUGAAAUAUGAAGAUUUACUUUCAUUUUCCCAUGUAAUAAAGAACAUGUAUAAUUUAUUUCAAUGAAUUUGUAAACGGAAUAUAGAUUUUAUUGCCAAUGUUUAAUGCCUACUUACCAAAUCGGAAGAGCA